GAUGAACGCUGGCGGCGUGCUUAACACAUGCAAGUCGAACGGAAAGGCCCAAGCUUGCUUGGGUACUCGAGUGGCGAACGGGUGAGUAACACGUGGGUGAUCUGCCCUGCACUUCGGGAUAAGCCUGGGAAACUGGGUCUAAUACCGGAUAGGACCACAUUUUGGAUGGUGUGGUGGAAAGUUUUUCGGUGUGGGAUGAGCUCGCGGCCUAUCAGCUUGUUGGUGGGGUAAUGGCCUACCAAGGCGUCGACGGGUAGCCGGCCUGAGAGGGUGUACGGCCAAAUUGGGACUGAGAUACGGCACAGACUCCUACGGGAGGCAGCAGUGGGGAAUAUUGCACAAUGGGCGCAAGCCUGAUGCAGCGACGCCGCGUGGAGGAUGACGGCCUUCGGGUUGUAAACUCCUUUCGCUAGGGACGAAGCGCAAGUGACGGUACCUGGAGAAGAAGCACCGGCUAACUACGUG
rnacentral:rRNA from 1 species